GAUUUUGAAAAAGAAAUUGCAAAUUACAUCAGCAACAUACAGGCUUAUCUCCUGCAGAAGCAGAAUUUAAUUACCUGAACACAGCACGUACCUUAGAACUCUAUGGAGUUGAAUUCCAUUAUGCAAGGGAUCAAAGUAACAAUGAAAUUAUGAUUGGAGUAAUGUCAGGAGGAAUUCUGAUUUACAUGAACAGAGAACGAAUGAAUACUUUUCCAUGGUUUCUCAGAGAAUUGAGGACACAGGGCAUACUGCAGCUCUGCAAACUGGAGAGACAGAUGAAUACAAGGAGUGACAGCUUACCAGGACUAGAAGCCACUGCUGCUGCAGCAAUACUUACAGGGUAAUUGACAAAUUGCUGGAAACUGAGCAAAGACUAGCCUGACAGAAACUCCUGGAGGCCCUGCUUAGAAAGGGUACGACACUUUCAUGAGUUUUAAUACCAGCCACUCCACCAGGUUCCCAGGGAGAAGACUGGAGAAAAAUCCACUUGUGCUCUAGUGGGCGGGGGGUGGGGGUUGAGCAGGAAAGUAACCAUCUUGAAAUAUGCUCAGAGCUUCCUGUUCUCCUUAACAAAGAUCUGUUUUUACCAACACUUAACCAAGAUGGGUCUUACCAGAGCCUACCCAAGGUGGGGCAAGGGCAGUACCCUUUUCCAUCCCUCUCUGUA